rnacentral:rRNA from 1 species
AUUGAACGCUGGCGGCAGGCCUAACACAUGCAAGUCGAACGGUAACGGGAAGAAGCUUGCUUCUUUGCUGACGAGUGGCGGAGGGGUGAGUAAUGUCUGGGAAACUGCCUGAUGGAGGGGGAUAACUACUGGAAACGGUAGCUAAGACCGCAUAACGUCGCAAGACCAAAGAGGGGGACCUUCGGGCCUCUUGCCAUUGGAUGUGCCCAGAUGGGAUUGGCUAGUAGGUGGGGUAACGGCUCACCUAGGCGACGAUCCCUAGCUGGUCUGAGAGGAUGACCAGCCACACUGGAACUGAGACACGGUCCAGACUCCUACGGGAGGCAGCAGUGGGGAAUAUUGCACAAUGGGCGCAAGCCUGAUGCAGCCAUGCCGCGUGUAUGAAGAAGGUCUUCGGGUUGUAAAGUACUUUCAGCGGGGAGGAAGGGAGUAAAGUUAAUACCUUUGCUCAUUGACGUUACCCGAAGAAGAAGCACCGGCUAACUCCGUG